AUUGAACGCUGGCGGCAGGCCUAACACAUGCAAGUCGAGCGAGAGGCGGACGGGUGAGUAAUGUCUGGGAAACUGCCUGAUGGAGGGGGAUAACUACUGGAAACGGUAGCUAAUACCGCAUACCAUCAGAUGUGCCCAGAUGGGAUUAGCUAGUAGGUGGGGUAACGGCUCACCUAGGAGACGAGCCCUAGCUGGUCUGAGAGGAUGACCAGCCACACUGGAACUGAGACCCGUUCCAGCCUCCUACGUGCGGCAGCAGUGGGGAAUAUUGCACAAUGGGCGCAAGCCUGAUGCAGCCAUGCCGCGUGUAUGAAGAAGGCCUUCGGGUUGUAAAGUACUUUCAGCGGGGAGGCGUUACCCGCAGAAGAAGCACCGGCUAACUCCGUGCCAGCAGCCGCGGUAAUUC
rnacentral:rRNA from 1 species